rnacentral:snoRNA from 1 species
ACUCUAUGAUGAAAAAAACAUUUCCAGUUCUGCUACUGAAGCACUGUGAUGACUACCAAUAUACCAUACCAAGAUCUCUGACCG